GCUCUCAUCUUUUAAAAGGAGGUAAUUUUGCUCCUUAUGAAUUACGAAUAGUCUGCCUAGCAAAAUUCUUGACUGAUUCUGUUUUAGAAGACACGGUACAGUUUUAAAAAGUGCGACGGAGCCCUCAUUGCUGCAACUGUAGGCUUAAAAGACUGACUGUGUCACAGUACAUUCCUAGUACUGCAAAUCAUUUUGUUUGCAAUUGACUGUUUCAUGCACAGAAUGUUCAUACUUCCACUGCAAAGAGUUGAUUGGUGUAUGGAACAUGUGAGAAAUCCCUUUGACGUACACUAACACAUAAAAGACCACUAUUAAGCAAACGUUGACGGAAAGAUUUUUAAUGAUGCAUUUGACUGACUGUGUCACAGUACAUUCCUACUACUGCAAAUCAUUUUGUUUGACUGUUUCAUGCACAGAAUGUUCAUACUUCCACUGCAAAGAGUUGAUUGGUGUAUGGAACAUGUGAGAA